rnacentral:misc_RNA from 1 species
GUUGCUUUUCACCAAGAUAUUGCAUGAAUUCAUUGUAGAAUACGAUGUCAGAAUCACUUUCAGGUACAAAGAAAACAACCCAAGCACUAGCUGCUUCAUAGUAAUGCUUUGAAAGCAUGUCUAGACCAGUUCUUGCAGUACAAUCUAAGAACUCUGGCAACAGCAUAUCCAGAACCUUUCCCACAGGAAAGCAGCGAGCACGACAAACAGGUGUUCCACCCUUUGCAAUAGUUCCUUCCCAUUUCCACUCUUUUACAGAUGAUUGUUCUGAAUCAGGAGAGAACCUUU